rnacentral:rRNA from 1 species
UAGGGAAUCUUCCGCAAUGGGCGAAAGCCUGACGGAGCAACGCCGCGUGAGUGAUGAAGGUCUUCGGAUCGUAAAACUCUGUUAUUAGGGAAGAACAAAUGUGUAAGUAACUAUGCCCGUCUUGACGGUACCUAAUCAGAAAGCCACGGCUAACUACGUGCCAGCAGCCGCGGUAAUACGUAGGUGGCAAGCGUUAUCCGGAAUUAUUGGGCGUAAAGCGCGCGUAGGCGGUUUUUUAAGUCUAAUGUGAAAGCCCACGGCUCAACCGUGGAGGGUCAUUGGAAACUGGAAAACUUGAGUGCAGAAGAGGAAAGUGGAAUUCCAUGUGUAGCGGUGAAAUGCGCAGAGAUAUGGAGGAACACCAGUGGCGAAGGCGACUUUCUGGUCUGUAACUGACGCUGAUGUGCGAAAGCGUGGGGAUCAAACAGG